UUUUUUUUGAGACUGAGUUUUGCUCUCCAGGCUGGAGUGCAGUGGUAUGCUCUCAAUUCACUGCAACCUCCGCCGCCCGGGUUCAAGCCAUUCUCCUGCCUCAGUCUCCCAAGUAGCUGGGAUUACAGGUGCUCGCCACCACACCCGGCUAAUUUUUGUAUUUUUAGUAGACAGGGUUUCGCUAUGUUGUCCAGGCUGGUCUCGAACUCCUGUCCUCAGGUGAUACACCCGCCUCGGCCUCCCAAAGUGCUGGAAUUUCAGGCAUGAGCCACCGCGCCCGGCCUAGAUACCGGUUUUCUACAGCAGAAGUAGUCACACUUUCUAAAGCAGAGGGCUUUGGAGUCAGACCCGAGCUGGAGUGAAGGAUGCCUUGCGAUCUCUCUUCAGCAAGCUGUUGUUUUAGGGACGUGGGGCCACUUUCCUUUAUUUGUAUAAAAGAUGCCAGUGCCCACUUCAGAGCUGUGCUGCUCCGGGCCAGAAGUUCAGCGAGUGUCCGUCGGCCCGGCGCUGUCACGUAAGUGGGCUCUUUGAGGUUCACAACGCGUCCUCCCGUGACGUUCUGGGCCUGUGAAGUUUGUGUCCAUGGGAAACGCGCACGGCGGUUCCUCAGGGAGCCGAGGGAGACCCUGGCAUCUACUAAACAUCCUAGCAGGCAAAAGGGCGCUCCCACGGAACUCGCCGGCCCGAGGGCCCGGAUAGGCCUCCACCUCCACCUUCUCAGACCCUCAUACGUUGGCCCUUCCGGCGGCAGCUUCCAGAGCGGGUAGGAGGUGCCACGAGCCGCCCCGCCUGUGCUUAGCUUUGUUGGGCUACGUCACUUCCGCCGCGGUCCCGCCCCCAGCGUGGCCGUAACUCAGGGCAACGGCCCGGCAGGCAGCGACCUGAGUCGCCCUCGCCCACGGGCCGGGACUAGCUGUCGCGAGGCCUUCCAUCCGCUCGGCCCCACAGGAAAAGACCACCAGCAUUCUCUUUUAGUAGCGGAGCGUCUUGAUUCUGCGUGAAGUACACCAGGGUUCUGAAGGUGCAUCUGGUGAUCCGCAAGAAGAUGUUAAAAACUUUAAGCAACCAUCGUAGUAAUGGAUCUCUGUCAGAAAAAUGAGACUGACUUAGAAAAUGGUGAAAAUAAUGAAAUUCAAAGCACAGAAGAAACAGAACCAACCUGUACUUGUCCAGAUGGAAGAAGUGAAAAGAAUCAUGUUUAUUGUCUUCUCGAUAUCAGUGACAUUACGCUUGAACAAGAUGAAAAAGCCGAAGAGUUUAUUAUUGGAACGGGAUGGGAAGAGGCAGUCCAAGGGUGGGGAAGGACUUCUCCAGCUGCCUGCAUCUGGCCGAGGAAGUUACCAAAAAAGGCGAGGGUAGGGGAAGGUGCCUGCAGUGACUGCUUGGUGUGUCUUAACCUGGCCCACAGGAGCCUCGAGACCAAGCCUCCUACGGAGGGGGGCCCAGAGAAGGAUCAGAGCAGCCCCUCCCAGACUCAGGCAGCCCCCCAGGGCCCCAGCACCGCUUCCAGGGCGAUUAGCAACAUCUGCUUUCCCACCUACUUUCGAACAGAGAAAAAAAGUCUGCAAAUCAAGGAGUUUAUUUGGUGCACCGAAGACUGGGCCAUCCCGGACAGUAGUAGGAGCAAGGCCCUUCGGAACCCCAGUGGAGGGGCCCACAGAGGGCUGUCCAUCCCAGGCCCCCUGACUUCCAGGGCCCUCCUAGUUCUGCCACCCCUGAAGGCUUCACUUUCAAAUGCCUUGGAUGUUCUGGGUAAGAAGAGUAAGAACUCUUUCUUGCAGUCAGAAGAGAAGGUGCUGAGUGUGGAAAAGGAUGGGUGUCUGGCUUGUGCAUAUGGCUUGAAAACAGCAGAUGGGAAAGGUGAAAAGAGACCCAGUGAGCUGGCCAAACACACUGUGGUCAACGACACGCCAUCCUCCCCUUCCCCAGCGGCCCGGACAUCCCUGCUGGCCGAUCCGGAGCAGUGCUGUCUGCACUGGUCCCUCCUGUCUGAGAAAAACCUGGCGUGCCCUUCAGACUCCAGUAACGUUCGCUAUCUUGCUGCCUUGCAGCUUCUGCAGAAACGGGGAGUGCAAAACUACAAAUCCAAAUUCCAAGCCAAGGAUCCAAGACCUCCUGUGAUAACCCAAAAGGCCAAGCAGGAAAACAGGCCCCAGAUGCUGGAGACCAAAGUGUUCACAAGACCUCUCUUGCCAUCCCUCACAGUGAGCAGAGUUGUCAUUCCGGUCUCUACCCACAGGAUCCUCUGAGCGGUCACGGGAGAACCCCUGGGAAUAAGCGCUGCGUGAGAUGCAGCCAUCCUUUCUCUUUCUUCUCUCUCACUUCUCACCCACCCCCGAUUCUUUCUUUCUCUCCUCUCCGUCAGUCUGUUUUUCCUCUUCUUUUCCUCCUUUUUUUUUUGUAGUACAACCGAAGAAAACUGAACCUCUGUGAAUGGGUUGGGAUUUAUUCUCUAAAACACCAUAUUCAUGUGUUACCUGCUUCUGCUACUUAGCCAUUCACAAAAUGCCAAUUGAUCAUGCCAGCCCUGGCCUCUGCCUGCCUCAUGUCCACACCCAGCAGAAGCCACACAGAAGCACAGGAAAAAGAAGAUAAAGUAGGAGAGGGGUCAGUUUCACAUUCAGUCCUAAGCAGCAACAUGGUUGAGAUGUAAUCAUAAAAGCAAAUGUUUCACCCAGGACAUGGAAAAGCGGUGGAUCAGCAGAAAGCAAAGAGUCAAACGCCGCAAGCAGAAGCAGUAAGACGACGCCACGCUUGGAGCAAGGUCUUAUUUAAACCUGCCAUAGUCAUCAGCUCGCUCUGUUAGGUCUCCCCAGCCCGCCCCUCAAAAAAAGGUUAUAUGCAGAGGUAAUAUAAUAUAUGUACUUUUGAGAAUAACAAAGUCACCGUGGAGAUAAUUUCAAAACAAUUCUUUUUCAUUUUCAGAUAUAUUGGACUAUUUCACGGAUGCUAAAAAGAGUAUCACUUGUUUAAAUUUUUUGUGGUUUCUUUUUUGCAGCCUAAUGUUCUGUAAUAGUAACUUGCUUCCAAGUAAAGUAUCAAAAGCUAAUGGAGGGGCCAUGGCUGUGGUCACUCAUGGAUCAAACUUCACUAUUUUGGAAUGCGUGGAGUUGGAACAAAGUUUUUAUUUUGUUAUUUAUUAGUAAAGCAAUAAAUAACAUUAUCUUACUAAUAUU